rnacentral:rRNA from 1 species
GACGAACGCUGGCGGCGUGCUUAACACAUGCAAGUCGAACGGAAAGGCCCUGCUUUUGUGGGGUGCUCGAGUGGCGAACGGGUGAGUAACACGUGAGUAACCUGCCCUUGACUUUGGGAUAACUUCAGGAAACUGGGGCUCAUACCGGAUAGGAGCUCCUGCUGCAUGGUGGGGGUUGGAAAGUUCCGGCGGUGGGGGAUGGAUUCGCGGCUUAUCAGCUUGUUUGUCGGGUAGUGGCUUACGAAGGCUUUGACGGGUAGCCGGCCUGAGAGGGUGACCGGCCACAUGGGGACUGCGAGACGGCCCAGACGCCUACGGGAGGCAGCAGUGGGGAGUCUGGCGCAACGGGGGGAAGCCUGAUGCAGCGACGCCGCGUGCGGGAUGACGGCUUUCGGGUUGUAAACCGCUUUGGCAUUUGACGAAGCGUGAGUGACGGUAAUGGGUAAAGAAGCAACGGCUAACUACGUG